rnacentral:tRNA from 1 species
GGAGACAGCUCAGUGGUAGAGUGAAUGCCUAGCAUGCAUGAGGUCCUGGGUUCAAUCCCCAAUCCCUCCA